AUGGUGAUACAUUCACAUACAUUAGUUCAGAGCUCAACUCUACAGCAAGUAACCACUUCCUUUUUUGUGGCUCCUCCUCAGAUACCAAUAAAGCUGACAGUAAAGUUCAGGUCUGUUUCUCUCUGUCUGAUGAUCAUGAUGCUCACGAUAAACCAAGCAGCACUGCUCUUCGUUCAGCUGUUAGUGGUGUGGCAUGUCUUUGCAGAGAUCGCUAAAGACGACCACAGAGCUGUGCUGGUGUCCAGAGGAGACUCAGUGACGCUGACUUGCAACAUAUCCAAGACAAAUGCAACAUUAAUCACCUGGACCAACAACAGAUCUGUUUUUAAAUAUUCCAUUGUGCUGAAUCGCACCUAUUCAAAUUUCUCAUUGCAUAGACUGAAAAUAAAUCAUGAGCUAAUUAUUUUUAGUGCUCAGCCUGAAGAUGAAGGACUUUAUACAUGUAGCAUAACAGAGAGACGUGGUGUAAACAGCAUUACAUGGAAUUUAACUGUGUCUGAGAACCCAGAAGAACCCACUUCAUCAAAAUAUUUUCUACACAUACUCCCACCUGCAAUUGGAUUGCUUCUGUGUUGCAUCACACUGGCUGUCUUACUCUACAGAAAAAUCAUGAUGAUGAAACUAAAUCAGGAUGCAGUCCGGGAUCAGAUUCCUCCUCAGUCAGGAGAAGAGACAUCUCUCCCUCAGCCACAGGGUGGCAGCACUGAUUGUAAAAACAACAGGCAGAGGAGUCGGUAUAUGGAGAGACUGAAUUCAAUCUAUGAUCACUUCUCAACUGAAAAACCUUCCAGUUCCUGACAGACAUGAACAGUGUCAGAGCAGAAACUGCAAGUGAACUCCAUCCGAGGGAGGACACCCGGGCUAUAAUACCCUCAGCUUCAGCUCAGACAAAUGACUGCCUGUGAGCACAGCAGUUACAACCAUCCAUCACCAUACAAGGAGCUUUUAUAUCUCAAGGAUCUUUGCUUUAAUAACUUUGAGAGCACUUAGUUUGACAGAAGUUUUUUCUUCAUCUGUGAGUAUAAGACCAGGUUCACCAACCUAUGUACUGUCAACCUAUUGAUUGACUAUAAGAAAGCCUAUGACUCACACAUGGAUCCUGGAAUGCCUAAAACUAUACAAGAACCACAGGACCCCAAGAACCUUCAUCAGGAAUUCAAUGGGGAUGUGGCGAACAAUGCUUGAGGCCAACUUGAAGCCAAGUGCGUGGUCAAGGGAUUUAAAUGGUAAAUGGCCUGUAUUUAUAUAGCGCCUUACUAGUCCCUAAGGACCCCAAAGCGCUUUACAUAUCCAGUCAUCCACCCAUUCACACACACAUUCACACACUGGUGAUGGCAAGCUACGUUGUAGCCACAGCCACCCUGGGGCGCACUGACAGAGGCGAGGAUUGGAUUGGAUUUACCAAGGAGAUGCACUGUCCCCACUGCUGUUCUGCAUAGACCUGAACCCCCUUAGCCAGAUCAUUAACAAGACCGGCUAGGGAUACCAACUACACAAUCAAGCAAUCAUCAGCCACCUCCUCUACAUGAAUGACAUCAAGCUGUAUGCCAAGAGUGAACGAGACAUAGACUCACUGAUCCAUACCACUAGGAUAUACAGCGAUGACACUGUGAUGUCAUGCGAACUGAAGAAGUGUAGUGAGGUGGUAACAAAGAGAGGGAAAGCAGUCAGAACUGAGCGAACUGCACUAGUAGAAGACAACAAUGCAGACAUCAAGCAUAGCUACAAGUCCAUCCAUACCAUGCAUGGAGGGUUUCACCAUAGCCUGAGAUUGUACACUAAGCAGAAUGAAGAAGACUAAUGAGUGUCAGUGUCAUUAUUGCUUUACUCUGCAGAGAAAUUAUAAGGACACUGAAUCAGGAUCAGUUUCUCCCUCAGUCAAGACAAGAGGUCAGAAGAUCGUCAUCAUCUUUGAUACUCUCAAAUUUGUCUACUUUAUUCUCUAUCUCAGAGUCAGCGCCAAAUUUUAUUUUAGCCUUUUGUCUUUAUAGGCAGCGCUCUCUCAACCACGAGGAGUUGCUCACUGUAAAAAUAACAAGCAGAGCAGUCAGUAUAUUGAGAGGCUGGAUUUAAUCUAUGGUCACUUCUGAACUGAAAAGCCUUCAAGUUACACAAAGACAUGGAUGUUUUUCAGGGAAGUAGGAGGACAACAGGGCUACAAUAUCCUCUUCAACUCAGAAACACAUCUCUGGCCAUGAAUACAGCAUUUCCAACCACUCCCAUCCAAUCUGUGUGUUCACAAGGAGCACCCAGUUAGGAGAAAGUUUGCAUCAAAGGAAGAAGGAAGAGAACUAAACUAAAUAAACUGCAGGUCUACACCAAAGUUCAGUGUCAGAUAAAUGAGGAUUAUUCGAAACUGUGAAUCUGGUUUCGGUAGAGUCCAAGUAUUAAAAUGUGAGCAGGGAAUGGGCAUAGUGGAUGUCUAUAGGGUGUCAAGUAUAUUUAUUUAUAGAGGACUUCAAGCUCCCUAAACCAUUUUCCUACAAUAAGCCCUCAGGAAAUUCAGAACUCCACCAAGGCAGGUCACUCUCUGAGUGUUGUACAACAGUGUUGUAAUUUUUAUAUAUUAAUUUUGUUUUCUUUGUUGUUUUUAAGCAUUUUUAAAGAAGUUUCACUGCAGAAAAAAUAAAGUGCAAAGUGCAGACUUUUGCUUUUUAAUAUACUUGCAAUACUUUUCAGUAUAAUUAUUUGUAUUUUAUAUAGUUCAUUAAUGUGGAUGUA
ensembl:lncRNA